rnacentral:rRNA from 1 species
GACGAACGCUGGCGGCGUGCUUAACACAUGCAAGUAGAACGGAAAGGCCCUGCUUUUGUGGGGUGCUCGAGUGGCGAACGGGUGAGUAACACGUGAGUAACCUGCCCUUGACUUUGGGAUAACUUCAGGAAACUGGGGCUAAUACCGGAUAGGAGCUCCUGCUGCAUGGUGGGGGUUGGAAAGUUUCGGCGGUUGGGGAUGGACUCGCGGCUUAUCAGCUUGUUGGUGGGGUAGUGGCUUACCAAGGCUUUGACGGGUAGCCGGCCUGAGAGGGGGACCGGCGACAUUGGGACUGAGAUACGGCCCAGACUCCUACGGGAGGCAGCAGUGGGGAAUAUUGCACAAUGGGCGGAAGCCUGAUGCAGCAACGCCGCGUGCGGGAUGACGGCCUUCGGGUUAUAAACCGCUUUCGCCUGUGACGAAGCGUGAGUGACGGUAAUGGGUAAAGAAGCACCGGCUAACUACGUG